rnacentral:lncRNA from 1 species
CCUCUCUAUAGUGACCAGCCCUUGGCCAUUCGCCAAGUGGGGCAUCGACUUCAUUGGUCCACUACCAAAAGGUAGGGAAAGCGCAACUUUUGCCAUUGUCGCCAUCGACUACUUCACUAAGUGGGUCGAGGCAGAACCCCUUGCCCGAAUCACCGAGGCCAACACUACGAAGUUCGUUUGGAAGAACGUCAUUUGCAGAUUCGGCAUCCCCCACUCCAUUGUCUCUGAUAAUGGGCGGCAGUUCGACAACAGGAAGAUGCGAGACUUAUGCGACGAACUGGGCAUAAAGAAAGACUUCUCGACUCCGCAUCACCCUCAGGCAAAUGGACAGGUUGAAGCAGUGAACAAGACUAUCAAGCACACCCUGAAAAGGAAACUGGAUGCCUCGAAAGGCGCCUGGGUUGACGAACUCCCCCACGUCCUCUGGGCCAUCAGAACGACUUGCCGGACUACAACCGGCGAGACCCCAUUUUCAAUGACCUACGGAGCCGAAGCAAUGAGUCCGGUCGAAGUUGGGGUCCCAUCACAUCGACGGAUACAUUUCAAUGAGAUCAGCAACGAUGAGGCGCGCAUAAGUGAACUACACCUCCUUGAGGAAAAGAGAGACGCUUCCCAGAUGACCUUAGCGAAAUAUCAUCGUAAGAUGACCCGCUUUUACAACUCCAAGGUCAGAAACAGAACUCUCCGCUUG